rnacentral:rRNA from 1 species
AUUGAACGCUGGCGGCAGGCCUAACACAUGCAAGUCGAGCGAGAAAGGUCUUCGGACUGAGUAGAGCGGCGGACGGGUGAGUAACGCGUAGGAAUCUACCUAGUAGUGGGGGAUAACUUGGGGAAACUCAAGCUAAUACCGCAUACGCCCCAAGGGGGAAAGCGGAGGAUCUUCGGACUUCGUGCUAUUAGAUGAGCCUGCGUAAGAUUAGCUAGUUGGUAGGGUAAAGGCCUACCAAGGCGACGAUCUUUAGCUGUUCUGAGAGGAUGAUCAGCCACACUGGGACUGAGACACGGCCCAGACUCCUACGGGAGGCAGCAGUGGGGAAUAUUGGACAAUGGGGGCAACCCUGAUCCAGCCAUGCCGCGUGUGUGAAGAAGGCC